AUUGCCAUUGAUACUGUUAGUCUUGAGUAUAUUUGAGGUAGGCGGAAUGUGUGGUGUAGCGGUGAAAUGCUUAAAUAUCACACAGAACACCAAUUGCGAAGGCAGCUUACUAAAAUAUAACUGACGCUGAGGCACGAAAGUGUGGGGAUCAAACAGGAUUAGAUACCCUGGUAGUCCACACUGUAAACGAUGAUAACUGGAUGUUGGUCUGUACAGAUCAGCGUCUGAUGUGAAAGCAUUAAGUUAUCCACCUGGGGAGUACGUCGGCAACGAUGAAACUCAAAGGAAUUGACGGGGGCCCGCACAAGCGGAGGAACAUGUGGUUUUAUUCGAUGAUACGCGAGGAACCUUACCCGGGCUCGAACGAUGGAGGAAUGUUGGAGAAACAUAACAGCCAGCAGUGGUCUCCAUCGAGGUGCUGCAUGGUUGUCGUCAGCUCGUGCCGUGAGGUGUCGGCUUAAGUGCCAUAACGAGCGCAACCUUUAUUGUUAGUUACCAUCAGGUGAAGCUGGGGACUCUAAUGAGACUGUCAUCGUAAGAUGCGAGGAGGGUGGGGGAUGACGUCAAAUCAGCACGGCUCUUUACGUCCGGGGGCGACACACGUGUUUACAGUGGGGUGGUUACAAAGGGACAUCUACCUGGCCGACAGGAUGCCUAUUCUACAAAAACCACUUCUCAGUUCGGAUCGGAGUUCUUGCAACUCGA
rnacentral:rRNA from 1 species